rnacentral:miRNA from 1 species
GACCUCAGGAUGCGGAUUACC